rnacentral:rRNA from 1 species
GGGUUGUGAGGUUAAGCGACUAAGCGUACACGGUGGAUGCCUAGGCAGUCAGAGGCGAUGAAGGGCGUGCUAAUCUGCGAAAAGCGUCGGUAAGGUGAUAUGAACCGUUACAACCGACGAUACCCGAAUGGGGAAACCCAGUGCAAUUCGUUGCACUAUUGCAUGGUGAAUACAUAGCCAUGCAAGGCGAACCGGGGGAACUGAAACAUCUAAGUACCCCGAGGAAAAGAAAUCAACCGAGAUUCCCCUAGUAGCGGCGAGCGAACGGGGAGGAGCCCAGAGUCUGAAUCAGUUUGUGUGUUAGUGGAAGCGUCUGGAAAGUCGCACGGUACAGGGUGAUAGUCCCGUACACAAAAACACACUUGCUGUGAACUCGAUGAGUAGGGCGGGACACGUGACAUCCUGUCUGAAUAUGGGGGGACCAUCCUCCAAGGCUAAAUACUCCUGACUGACCGAUAGUGAACCAGUACCGUGAGGGAAAGGCGAAAAGAACCCCGGCGAGGGGAGUGAAAUAGAACCUGAAACCGUGUACGUACAAGCAGUGGGAGCACCUUCGUGGUGUGACUGCGUACCUUUUGUAUAAUGGGUCAGCGACUUAUAUUUUGUAGCAAGGUUAACCGAAUAGGGGAGCCGUAGGGAAACCGAGUCUUAACUGGGCGUCUAGUUGCAAGGUAUAGACCCGAAACCCGGUGAUCUAGCCAUGGGCAGGUUGAAGGUUGGGUAACACUAACUGGAGGACCGAACCGACUAAUGUUGAAAAAUUAGCGGAUGACUUGUGGCUGGGGGUGAAAGGCCAAUCAAACCGGGAGAUAGCUGGUUCUCCCCGAAAGCUAUUUAGGUAGCGCCUCGUGAACUCAUCUUCGGGGGUAGAGCACUGUUUCGGCUAGGGGGCCAUCCCGGCUUACCAAACCGAUGCAAACUCCGAAUACCGAAGAAUGUUAUCACGGGAGACACACGGCGGGUGCUAACGUCCGUCGUGAAGAGGGAAACAACCCAGACCGCCAGCUAAGGUCCCAAAGUCAUGGUUAAGUGGGAAACGAUGUGGGAAGGCAUAGACAGCCAGGAUGUUGGCUUAGAAGCAGCCAUCAUUUAAAGAAAGCGUAAUAGCUCACUGGUCGAGUCGGCCUGCGCGGAAGAUGUAACGGGGCUAAACCAUGCACCGAAGCUGCGGCAGCGACACUUAGGUGUUGUUGGGUAGGGGAGCGUUCUGUAAGCCGUUGAAGGUGACCUGUGAGGGUUGCUGGAGGUAUCAGAAGUGCGAAUGCUGACAUAAGUAACGAUAAUGCGGGUGAAAAACCCGCACGCCGGAAGACCAAGGGUUCCUGUCCAACGUUAAUCGGGGCAGGGUGAGUCGACCCCUAAGGCGAGGCUGAAAAGCGUAGUCGAUGGGAAACAGGUUAAUAUUCCUGUACUUGGUGUUACUGCGAAGGGGGGACGGAGAAGGCUAGGCUAGCCGGGCGACGGUUGUCCCGGUUUAAGCAUGUAGGCGGAGCGACUUGGUAAAUCCGGUUGCUUAUCAACGCUGAGGUGUGAUGACGAGUCACUACGGUGAUGAAGUAGUUGAUGCCAAGCUUCCAGGAAAAGCCUCUAAGCAUCAGGUAACAUUAAAUCGUACCCCAAACCGACACAGGUGGUCAGGUAGAGAAUACUCAGGCGCUUGAGAGAACUCGGGUGAAGGAACUAGGCAAAAUGGUGCCGUAACUUCGGGAGAAGGCACGCUGGCAUUAGGUAAUGGGACUUGCUCCCGGCGCCGAAGCCAGUCGCAGAUACCAGCUGGCUGCAACUGUUUAAUAAAAACACAGCACUGUGCAAACACGAAAGUGGACGUAUACGGUGUGACGCCUGCCCGGUGCUGGAAGGUUAAUUGAUGGGGUCAGCCUUACGGCGAAGCUCUUGAUCGAAGCCCCAGUAAACGGCGGCCGUAACUAUAACGGUCCUAAGGUAGCGAAAUUCCUUGUCGGGUAAGUUCCGACCUGCACGAAUGGCGUAAUGAUGGCCAGGCUGUCUCCACCCGAGACUCAGUGAAAUUGAACUCGCUGUGAAGAUGCAGUGUACCCGCGGCAAGACGGAAAGACCCCGUGAACCUUUACUAUAGCUUGACACUGAACAUUGAGCCUUGAUGUGUAGGAUAGGUGGGAGGCAUUGAAGUGUGGACGCCAGUCUGCAUGGAGCCAACCUUGAAAUACCACCCUUUAAUGUUUGAUGUUCUAACUCGGCCCCGUGAUCCGGGGUGAGGACAGUGUCUGGUGGGUAGUUUGACUGGGGCGGUCUCCUCCCAAAGAGUAACGGAGGAGCACGAAGGUUAGCUAAUCACGGUCGGACAUCGUGAGGUUAGUGCAAAGGCAUAAGCUAGCUUGACUGCGAGAGUGACGGCUCGAGCAGGUACGAAAGUAGGUCUUAGUGAUCCGGUGGUUCUGAAUGGAAGGGCCAUCGCUCAACGGAUAAAAGGUACUCCGGGGAUAACAGGCUGAUACCGCCCAAGAGUUCAUAUCGACGGCGGUGUUUGGCACCUCGAUGUCGGCUCAUCACAUCCUGGGGCUGAAGUAGGUCCCAAGGGUAUGGCUGUUCGCCAUUUAAAGUGGUACGCGAGCUGGGUUUAGAACGUCGUGAGACAGUUCGGUCCCUAUCUGCCGUGGGCGUUGGAAGAUUGAGAGGGGCUGCUCCUAGUACGAGAGGACCGGAGUGGACGAAUCACUGGUGUUCGGGUUGUCAUGCCAAUGGCAUUGCCCGGUAGCUAAAUUCGGAAGAGAUAACCGCUGAAAGCAUCUAAGCGGGAAACUUGCCUCGAGAUGAGUCUUCCCUGGGGCUUUAAGCCCCCUGAAGGAACGUUAAAGACUAUGACGUUGAUAGGCUGGGUGUGUAAGUGCAGCGAUGCAUUGAGCUAACCAGUACUAAUGAUCCGUGAGGCUUAACCUUACAACACCAAAGGUGUUUUG